AUCUAGCUGACGAGUCCCAAAUAGGAUGAAACGCACGUCCUGAAU
rnacentral:hammerhead_ribozyme from 1 species